AAAGGCUCUGGCUGUCACACUUCAUAGAUGAGGCAGAGAUGGGAGGCAAGAGACCUGCUACCCUCUCCUCUGGUUGAUUCCAUUGAGUGGCCAGUCAUCUCUAGAGAACCUGAGUUCCUUUCCUUCCUGAAUUUCUACUCCUAAUGAGGAAUCUACUUGCUUCUGAAGCUGGAGCAAAGGUUUAACUUCUGAUAGUUAUCUAGAAAGUUCUCUGAGCACUUCAGGGGAAAUUGCUAGGCUGAGUCAAAAAGAAAAGCCAAGUGGAUUUGAAUGCCAGCUCUCCUCCUUCCUGGGGUUAGGCCUUGAACAAGCCAUUUAACCUCUGUCCCUCAGAGCUUCUAGCAAUAAAUGAGAUAAAACUGUAUCUCCUUCAGGACAUCGUUAGGAUUAAUUAACUGAAAGUAUCAAUAAGGGUUCACUACUGCUGCAAUGCCUCAUUCCACUUCACUGUUUAGCUUACACCAAACUCCCUGGUGGAAUCUGGCUACACUAGCCCAGACCUCUCCCUCUGAAAUUCUAUAGUAGUCAGUAUUUUUCAGUCUUUAAUUUUACAUGUACUUAUUUUACAGUAGAUCUCAGUUGAGCAUUCUCUCAUACUUUGAAAAAAUAAUUCACUAAGAAAGACUUAAACGACUGACCAUGUCCAUAUUAGAGAGAAAAAUGUGUUCACAAGCCAAGGAAGGAUUGCUAACAAAUGAAUUAGCAGAAAUGCUAAGGAAAGCAUGCAAAUUCAGUCUAUGGAUAGAUGGAUCCUACCAGUUCUCCAACACAGCCAGAUGAACGUCUUAAGAACCUUGCUUAGUCUACCCCUGCGCUUGCUGGGUUGAGUGUGCAUAGUCUCUUCUGUGCUGUGUUUUCCUCCACGUAAGGACACUGAAAUAAAGAAGCUAAUUACUAAGCCCAAAGCUUACCUGUGGUCUCCUCCCAUGGUGACACAGCUGUAGCCACCUGACACAGCUCUACUAACCACUUCAGCCAGUUCCUGGUUGGCAAGGCCCACUGAACGAGGAUACACAACCAGAUUAUUGUAGGGAUCAUCUUGUGGGACAUUAGUAAAACUCAAGUCUCCAAAGUCUUUUAGGUGGCAUCCUGCAACAGAUGGAGAACAACAGAAUGAACCAUUUGUGCCAUUCCAACGUCUACUGGCCUGGGCUACAAGUAAUUACCUGGGACAAAGUGGUGACACGUCAUACUCAUUUUGUCCGACCACAGUUCCACAUGUCACCUGCUAGCAAGACUCCAAAUAAUGAGGCAACUGAAAUAAUGUUUACUGUAUAGAUGAAGAAACAGCAGAGAAGGAGUCUGCUGAGCGCCAAAGUCAAAGCCUACAGCUAAGACAUUUGGAAGGCGUUUGAUUUUUGUUACUGUUUUUGUUUUGGUUUGUUUGUUGAGACAGGAUCUCACCGUGUAGCCAUGGCUAUCCUGGAACUCAUUAUAUAAACCAGGUUGGCCUCAAAGUCACAGAGAUCCACUUCUACUUCUGGAGUGCUGGGAAACCAUACAUUUUAUUUUAACAUUUGCAGAGGUCGGUUAAAGAUUUAGGCUAUGACCAAUGCGGUUUCAUCACGAAUUUAAGCUGUACAGUUAGGAACUUUCCUCUUGAGCCCAACUCAUUCUAAAGCAGAACUUGGAAAGAAUACAAAGAUGAGAAGUCUUAACUUGAAACAUCAAAGCAUAAGGCCAACAGACCAACCUUAAUCAUCAAUAAAAAUGGGUAUUAGAAGCAAAACUAUUCUUUCUCAAAAGAUAUACCUUAGCUAAAAAAAAUUAUGAACCUUUUGAUCAGUGCACUGUUAAGAAAUAAUUAUAAAACGAUGCACAGGAGACCUAGUCAACUAGAAAAAAAGAAAAAAAAAGAAACUACAGCCAAGAAGGAGACAACUAUGACAACAUGCUGAAGACACUGAGAACUGGUCUGGUCUGUUUGUCUGCUGUGGUAAACACCGUGACUAAAAUCAACUUGGAGAAGAAAGUAUUUGGCAUACACAUCUCAGGUCACAGUCUAUCACUGAGGGAAAUCAGAGUGGGAACUCAAUCCUGGAACCUGGAGACAGGAACUAAAGCAGAGACCAUGGUGGAAUGCUGCUUAUUAGCUUGCUUUCCAUGGCUUUUCCUGGCUUACUCGUGUAUAACCCAGCACCACCUGUCUAGAGAUAGCAAUGCCCACAGUGGUUGCUACCUCUGUUGCUACCCACAGUGAGAGCCCUUCCACCUCAAUCAUCAUUCAAGAAAAUACCCCACAACUGGGUGCAUGCCUUUAUUCCUAGUACUCAAGAAGUAGAGGCUAGUGAAUUCCAAGCCACCCUGGUCUUCAUAGGAAAUUCUGGGCCAGCCAGGGCUACUAGAUAGAGAGACUCUGUCUCAAAACAAAACAAAAAGCCCCCACAGCCUUGGGUACAAGCCAGUCUAAUGAAAAAAUUCUUAAUUGGUAUUACCCCUUCCUAGAUGACUCUAGCUUGUGUCACACUGACAAAAUAACCAACCAGCUAAGAACCAACAGAAAAAUUACCAAAUAAAACAGCUGUCUUAAAAGGUUUGUGUGCAGGGGGCUACUGAUGAGAUAGCUCAGCAGUUAAGAGCACUUAACUGCUCAUAGAGAGGACCUGUGUUUACUUCCUAGCACCCACAUGGGUGACUCAAAACCUCUUUGAACUCAGUUCAAGAUGAUCUGACACCUUCCAGCUCUGGCACAUAAACGGUGUAGAUACAUAUAUGUUUGGAGAAGGGCUGGACAAGGUGGCUAAUAGAGUAAAGGCUCUAUUAGUAAAGGCUCUAUUUGUCCCCAGCCAAACGACCUAAGUCUGAUCUCUGGCUCUGUAAUAUGCAUGGUAGGUGGAAAGAACAAACUCCUAAAAGUUGUCUGCUGACUUCUACACAUGUACCAUGCCAUACGUGUGCUCAUACAUACAAUAAUGUUAAAAAAAAGUUUGAAGAUUCACAGACCAAAAAAAAAAUAUGUGUUUUCCAAGUCCGUGUGGCUGGAGAGGUGGCUGAGAGCAUUUGCUGGUCUUCCAAGGGAGUUUCCACCCCAGUACCCACUUUGGACCACGUACACUCUCUUCUAACUCUAGCUCUGGGGGAUCUGAAUUCUCUUCCAGCUCCCCAGUCACCUGAACACACGUGGUACACUAGAGGAGGGUGUAAAAUUCCCUAGAGCUGGAGUUACAGAAGUUGUGGAGCCAAUGCAGCUACUGGACUCCAGUCCUCAGGAAUAAUAAAGUGCUCGUAAGGGCUGAGCCAUCUCUGCAGGUCAGCGGGACAAGUCGUGAAUGGUUACUAUUCUAGAAUGUUUCUGCCUCUUUGUUAACCACAGCAACUUCCUUAAACGUCAUCAAGCAUAAGGUUCUUUUUUUUUAAUUAGGUAUUUUCUUCAUUUACAUUUCCAAUGUUAUCCCAAAAGUCCCCCAUAACCUCCCCCACUUCCCUACCCACCUACUCCCACUUCUUGGCCCUGGCGUUCCCCUGUACUGAGACAUAUAAAGUUUUCAAGACCAAUGGGCCUCUCUUUUUCCACUAGGCCAUCUUCUGAUACAUAUGUAGCUAGAGACACGAGCUCCAGGGGGUACUGGUUAGUUCAUAUUGUUGUUCCACCUAUAGGGUUGCAGAUCCCCCACCUCCUUGGGUAUUUUCUCUAGCUCCUCCAUUUGGGGCCCUGUGAUCCAUCCAAUAGCUGACUGUGAGCAUCCACUUCUGUGUUUGCCAGGCCCCGGCAUAGCCUCACAAGAGAGAGCUAUAUCAGGGUCCUUUCAGCAAAAUCUUGCUAGUGUAUGCAAUGAUGUCAGCGUUUUGGAGGCUGAUUAUGGGAUGGAUCCCCGGGUAUGGUAGUCUCUAGAUGGUCCAUCCUUUCAUCUCAGCUCCAAACUUUGUCUCUGUAACUCCUUCCAUGGGUGUUUUGUUCCCAAUUUUAAGAAGGGGCAAAGUGUCUACACUUUGGUCUUCAUUCUUCUUGAGUUUCAUGUGUUUUGCAAAUUGUAUCUUGUAUCUUGGGAAGCGUGAGGUUCUUGAUGUUGUAUAGGAAACUGGAGCAAGUCUGGUAUUUUGAAGACUAUAGUAUUUACUAUUAAAGGCAUGAUGGCUAUUCUUGAUUAUCAACUUGCCUACAUCUGGAAUUAACAAAACCCUAAUGGCUUCUUCAGCCUGUGAUGGAAUUUUUCUUAAUUAAAUCAUUUAAUGUGAGAAUUUCCAAUUCUAAUUCAGACUUUGGAGGUGGGAAGAUCCACCUUUAACCCAGAUCUUUUGAGGUAGGAAGAUCCACCUUUAAUCUGGGCCAUACCUUCUGCUGGAAGCCUAUAGAAGGGCAUGGGAGAAAGAAGAGUUUGCCCAUUCUUCUCUUGCUUGCCUUCACUUUGCCAGCACAUCCAUUCCUUUGCUGGCAUUGGGACCUAGUUCUUCAGGAUUCCAGUGUGUCCUCAAGACGUCAGCUAAGACAUCCAGCUUCAUGGACUGAACAACUACUGAAUUCUUGAACCUUCUAUUGGUAGACAGCCAUUGUUGGACUAACUAGACCAUAACCUGUAAACCAAUCUAAUAAAUCUCCUUUAUAUAUAUAUUUAUGAGUGUAUAUAUAUAUAUAUAUAUAUAUGUUCUAUAAAUACUAUUUAUCUAGAGAACCCUGACUAAUCAAAAGGUUAUAAUAAUGUUAAUAUUAACUUUCAUAACUACUUGCCAAACCUUUAACUCAUAGAAAUCUCCAUAUGGCCAAUAAGAAAGCAAGGGCAUUAACGUUUCAGUGGAUAAGAUUAAGUAAUAGAACUUAGGGAACACCUAAGUCCAAUCAAGGAUGCCAGGGCAUAAACUGAGAUAAGCCUAACAGAAAACAAUAUUCUACUCAUUUAAAUGUACUAGCCAGAAAUGAGCUGCAGCAAGUACUCCAAGGAAGAGAGACUGCACUUCAUGGGAGGAUAUGGUUAUUAACUGUGCAGCUCAGGGGCUAAGCAUGCACCAGAUCCUGGGGUAGAAUAAUUGCUAGCAUGCACCAGACCCUGAAUUUGAUCCUGACACCAAUCAGCUGCUGAAGGUAGUUCAACAGAUCCACUUAUGUAUGAAUGUGGACUCUUAAGAUUACCAACUCUGAAGGACUGGAUAGAUGUCCCAGUGAUGAAUAGCAAUGGCUGCCUUUGUAGACCUGGGUUCAAUUUCCAGUACCCACAUGGUAGCUCGCAACUGUAACUCCAGUUCUAGAGGAUCUAAGGCCUCAUUUAGCCUCUGCUGGGCACCAGACAUACAGGCAAAACAUCAACACACAUAAAAUAAAUCGUUUUGUUUUGUUUUUAGAGAGUAACCACUACUUCUCACCAAACAGCUUUCUUGUGUUCCCAUUUGCCUCCCAGGUGCCUCACAUACCCACAAGGGCUAUUUCUCAAUCUAAUUAUGCCAGCUGCAUGCAAUUUUGAUAAUUUACAUGUCAACAUGAGUCUGGCUAUUAAAACCUGAUAAGUUCUGCCUUGUGUUUCCACAACACUAAGAGGCAGACCCUGAAUGGGAUUCGCUCUUGAAAAGGUAUGACUGCCUCCCUAACUCGACUCUUGAAUUUUCACCAUGUAAGUAGCAGGUAAUGAGUAGGGACAAUGACUGCAGGAAUCAAGGACUGGCCCUCUGCAAGUACAAUUUGUACCAACACUGUCUUGCUGUGCAUUUUCCCUCCUCCCUUAUAAACAAUAGAAAUUCUUUGAAAAAAUGAAUAAGAAAGUAUCUAACGAUAUAGGCUCCCAUUUUACUCCCCAAACCUGACAAUGUAUUCUUGAAGAUCUUUAUGUAUAAGAUUAUGAGGUAGAAUUGGCUAAGUUGCUGCAGCUAACUACUCAAAACAUAGUUCAAAUACCCAUGUUUGCUUACCAUCCGGGUAGACAGCAGACUUUUUUCUGUGCAGUGAUUCAGAGACCUAGUUCUUGACUUUGUCAUACCUAGGGUUUUGCUCUUGUAUGUCUAAGGAUAGGUCUCCCCAGGUUCAAGACAGCAGGAACAGGAAAAGGCACAGAGAAGGUCCUUUCCAACCUAUGAGACACACCACAAACUGCACUGCCUACAGCAGACAUUGCUCAGCAGAAAGGGCCCAGUUCUCCACAACAAUGCAUCACUACACAUGACAAAGGCAGUAGUGUCUCAAAGGUUGAACCAAUUGGGCAAUGUAGUCCUGCCUCAUCCACCAUGCUCAUUGAUCUCUUGCCAUCAGAUCUCUUCAAUCAUUCUGACAGCCUGUAACUUAACCAGCAGAAUACAAAAGGUGCCUCCCAGGACUUUGUCAAAUCCCAGAGCAGGAGUUCUUUUUACUGCAGAAGAAACAAACUUAUUUCACAAUGUCAAAAUGUGCUGAUUGUAAUGACUCCUAUUUUGAUUAGUAAACAUAUAUUUGAGCCAGGCAUAAUGGUGUAACUCUUGAGUGCCAGUUCUAGUUUGAAGCUCGCAUGGUCUAUGUAAGCUACAUAAGCAGACUCUACAUUUAAAAAGAAAUGUUUGGGCCUAAUAACAACUUAAAAUUCAUGGUCUGAAACUAUAAGCAAAUACAUUGGGGCAAGAGCCCCAGCCCUGUCACCAGAGAUCAUAGAGGAGUACUAUCAAAGGACAGUGAGUUUCUAAGCCCUUCCUGCAAAUUGUAUUUAAAUGGUUACAAGGAUUGACAUAGUAACAAGGAAGGGGGCAGGCCAAGGGGAUUGCAGGUCACAUGAGACAGCUUGCUAGUUCUUCUCUCCGCUCUUCCUAUUAUACUUUCUUUGAAACUGAUGUUGUAACCUAGAACUUCCCAAAACUUGUUUACCAUAUGUCUGCGUCAUUGUUUCAUGAACCAGUUUUGGAUAAGAAGACCCAAACAGAGUCACACAGUAAAUAAAUGAAAUCACUAAAGGAUAAAAAAUAAAUACACUUGCUGUUGGAGUUGUUGACUCGAGAUUUUUUUUUUUUUUAAAUCACAUGGGGACUGGAGAGAUGAGUAAGGGGUUAAAAACAGUUAUUGCUUUUGCAAAAGACUUAGCUAUAAUUCCCAGCACCCAAUCGCAUCUCAAAACAGUCUGUAACUUCAAUUCCAGAGGACCUAAUGCCUGGGACCUCCUCAAGCAUCGAGCACAUACACGGUACACAUCCAUGCAUGCAAGCGAAACAGCCAUAGAUAAAGGUAAACUUAAAUUGUUUUCUAGUUUAUUACAUGAAUUUUGGCUUAAAUUUAGGGCUCUGAAAUAGCCCCACACAGAAUUUUUCCACUUUGUAUUACAUAUUUAUGUGAAGCAGCAUUCUCAAAGUUGACUAUAGACUAAAAUCAAUAAAUAUCAAUCAACUCUGAAAAACAUUGACAAUAACUAUGUCUGGCAAAAUCAAAUAUUCAGCCAAGAUUUGUUUAUUUUUUUAAUACAGUCUUACAUUUGUACCCAGAUCUGCCUGGAACUCUCUAGGUCCCUUGAUGGCCUCAAACUUGUAAUGAUUCUCUGUUUUAGCCUCUUAAACCCUAUUUGUCAGUGUAAGCUAGCAUACUUGGUUCAGGAUUUAAUUCUGUAUGUAAAACUAAACACAUCCAUCUCAUAAGUAUAUGAAUUUGCUAUUGUCUUUAAUAAAUGUUAAAAUAGGGAUACUAA